AAAACGGAAAGGAGAAAAGGAAAAGACAAAAAGCACCGUCCUGACUCUGGAUGCCGAGUGUUCUUCUUUACAAGGGAGGCUUGGGUCGGAUUUCAACGACAAGUGUGCUGCCUGGCUGGGUCCCGACCUGACCCGAGCUUGUCCAGUCAUAUACUCUUCGAAGCUACGAUUGUUGCAUCAAUUGCUACUGGACAUGGCGGGAGGAGGAAGCACAAAGCUUAGGUGGGGCAGAGAGAUUAAUCGUUGAUGCAGCUGUUGAACUUGCAUCUCACGGGCAAAAUGUUCAUAUUUUCAAAACUCACCAUGAUAAAAGCCGAUAUGUUGAGGAAACAGUUUCUGGUGGUUAGGACCAGCGCUUAAGAGAAAAUGUUGAGUGCUUGGAGGAGCUUAUGAGUGUGUUUGGAUUGAGAGAUUUGGAGAGAGGGAAGAGAAGGGAAACAAGGGAGGAAAGGGAAGGUGUAUCUGAUCAAAUAAAAUUCAUUACAUCUUGCUCAACAGCUGAAAGAAAUGUCUCCUCUCCCAGUGUUUAUGUGUUCUCUAUAGUCUAUACACCAAAGGUCUGGUUGCAUCUAGAGCUCUGAUAGAAUUUAUCGGUUCUGAAAUGUAAAAGUGGAUCUCUUUUUUUCACAAAUUGUUGGUAUACUUCCGCUGGAGGCUUAUGGCAGCUUAUAAACCUGUUAUUGCAUGCAACAGUGGUGGCCUUGUUGAAACAGUUAA